GUACGGGAGGCAGCAGUGGGGAAUAUUGGACAAUGGGGGAAACCCUGAUCCAGCGACGCCGCGUGGGUGAAGAAGGCCUGCGGGUUGUAAAGCCCUUUCGGUAGGGACGAAAGCUCUUGCCUUAACACGGCAGGAGGUUGACUUAACCUACAUAAGAAGCACCGGCUAACUCUGUGCCAGCAGCCGCGGUAAUACAGAGGGUGCGAGCGUUAAUCGGAAUUACUGGGCGUAAAGCGCACGUAGUCGGCUUUGCAAGCCGGUUGUGAAAUCCCCGGGCUCAACCUGGGAACUGCAUCCGGGACUGCAUUGCUAGAGUAUGGGAGAGGGAAGCGGAAUUUCUGGUGUAGCAGUGAAAUGCGUAGAUAUCAGAAGGAACAUCAGUGGCGAAGGCGGCUUCCUGGACCAAUACUGACGAUCAGGUGCGAAAGCGUGGGGAGCAAACAGGAUUAGAUACCCCGGUAGUC
rnacentral:rRNA from 1 species